AAGGAAGGAGGAGUGAAAUCAGAAAGUUGACUUCAAAUCUUAGGAUGUCAGGUAAUUGGCAACUUAAGACUCUUCACAUCAAGAGGAUUGGGAACAACGACGUUCGGGGUGAAGUUAGAUACCCUCAUCCUUUGCUGGAAGUUAGGAAAAUGAUUUCCGCUGGUUAGGAGAGCGUGUUCGGGGUACGGUCAGGAAAAUAACUCCUGCCUCAAGCCGCUCAGGGGAAAUCUGAAAAAAGGCUUCAAAAAUCCCCGCUCAACGCAGGAAGUUUGAAAAAGAACUAUCAGUCGACUACUCAACAGGUUCAACUUUUUCAGUCUAGGAAACAUAUCCAAAGAGAACUCCUAGAGUUGGCCGCUCGAUACAGAGAGCAAUGAAGACUUAAAGCAUCUAAGAUAGACUUCCUAAAUACAACAUGAGCGACUCCUUUUAAAGCUCAUAAUAAUCCCUACGCACCUCUUUCAAUAAAGAGCUUGCUUGGGCUUGAAGGGCUUAUGUACUAUAUGAAAUAUACCGAUCAGAGUUAAUUGUCAUUUAUGGACAAUUAUCAGGUAUUAAUAGGUCAGAUUGCGUUAUGCUUUACAAAUAUACUGUAUUGAUCAUUAAUUAUUGGGUUUGAUUACCUUUGCAUUAAAGUUUAAUAAUGGACCUGACUGUCAUAAACCCUAUAAACAUACAAAGGAUGUCCAAGUACAAUCAUCUUCUUCUAUACUAAUAAAAUAUUGACCUCUCUAUGAAACAUAUCUAACUUGAGCUUCAGAGUGUCUUUUGUAGGUCAACCCCCCACCGGGAAGGAUUACAUGAAGAGUUGGACGAACGGAGCACAGCAAAGAAGGACGACCGUCCUCAGACAAAUGUUACCGAAUGAUGAGUGUCGCGGCCCAUACAAAUUUGAUUGCAUAUGAGAAAUGCAGUAUAGCUAGGGAAUGACCUCUAGGUCGUCUCCCAAA
rnacentral:lncRNA from 1 species